rnacentral:rRNA from 1 species
CCUACGGGAGGCAGCAGUGGGGAAUAUUGGACAAUGGGGGCAACCCUGAUCCAGCCAUGCCGCGUGUGUGAAGAAGGCCCUCGGGUUGUAAAGCACUUUCAGCGAGGAAGAACGCCUAGCGGUUAAUACCCGCUAGGAAAGACAUCACUCGCAGAAGAAGCACCGGCUAACUCCGUGCCAGCAGCCGCGGUAAUACGGAGGGUGCAAGCGUUAAUCGGAAUUACUGGGCGUAAAGCGCGCGUAGGUGGCUUGAUAAGCCGGUUGUGAAAGCCCCGGGCUCAACCUGGGAACGGCAUCCGGAACUGUCAAGCUAGAGUGCAGGAGAGGAAGGUAGAAUUCCCGGUGUAGCGGUGAAAUGCGUAGAGAUCGGGAGGAAUACCAGUGGCGAAGGCGGCCUUCUGGACUGACACUGACACUGAGGUGCGAAAGCGUGGGUAGCAAACAGGAUUAGAUACCCUGAUAGUCCACGCCGUCAACGAUGUCGACCAGCCGUUGGGUGCCUAGCGCACUUUGUGGCGAAGUUAACGCGAUAAGUCGACCGCCUGGGGAGUACGGCCGCAAGGUUAAAACUCAAAUGAAUUGACGGA